GUCAUUUGAAGUAAAAAUAAUGCCCUAAUUUCAGUUUUAGCAAAGACUCAAAUAAUGCAUAGUGUUUAAGCACCUAAAUGUUUAAUGGUUUACAAACCAGCUUAAAAAUUCCAUCUAGGAAACAUUUAUGAAACUUUGGAUUCACAAAUAAGAUAUGUGGUAUACUAGGAAAACCACAGUGAAUGACCAGCUAACAGUGUGGUUGCAGAAUUAUAGGAAUGUUGGAACACACAAGGCAGACUCUGCUUGUAGAUAUAGCUGGAGGUUUGCAUCUACCUACUCUUUUGGUUUGGACAUGAGGUCUUUUUAGUAAAGGAAUAGCAAGCCAUGUCUGUGUACACAAAUGAACCAGAGCAGUGGUUCUCAUUCUAUGGAGACUAUUUAAAAAAUACUAAUAUCCAGUUUUUACCCAAGAUUCAUUACAACUCAGAAUUUCUGGAGGUAUUGCAUAACAUUUAUUGCCAUUAGUCAAAAAGUUAGAAUUCUUUCUCUUUAAUUUUAUCCUCAGUUAAUAAUGCAGAUGGUGAUAAAAUUAAAUUUUUUUUUUUUUUUUUUUAGACGGAGUUUCCCUCUUGUUACUCAGGCUGGAGUGCAAUGGCGCGAUCUCGGCUCACCGCAACCUCAGCUUCCUGGGUUCAGGCAAUUCUGCCUCAGCCUCCUGAGUAGCUGGGAUUACAGGGAAACACACCCAGUCCUCUCCUGUAGGUCAAGGGAGACACCAUGGUAUUCUCUUCUUGAAUUCAUUUCAAAGACUCCCGCACUUCAAUGAGUGUCUAAUAUCCUCCAACUGAAAAUCUCUAAUAACUUGGCAGUGGAAUGUGAAGGAGCUGAAUAAGGAAGGACCAGAUGACUGACUCAUGGGGUCUGGUUGAAGUAGAUGAAGGUAAAGAGAAAAGGGAUAUGAAGAGGGUUGUAGAGUUUGUGGGAGGAAGGACAUAGGAAAGGGCCUUUGGCAGAGAUAUUUUUCUGCCUACAUCUAUGUUGGCCACAUGGGGAUGCCAUAAAUAUCGUGAACACCAGAGGAGCUGGGUGUGGCACCAGCCAUCGAGAUGGCCCUCAAGGAUUCUAGCCUCCUGGUAUUCAUGUCCUUGUAUAGUCUUCUCUAGCACUGAGAAGGGAUGACCUGUGUAACAAAUAGGACAUUGUGGAAAUGAUGGAGUUUGUCUUUUGAGGCUAGCUCAUGGAAGACAUGUGGUCCUUGGACCAG
rnacentral:lncRNA from 13 species